CCUACGGGCGGCAGCAGUAGGGAAUAUUGCUCAAUGGUGGAAACCCUGAAGCAGCAACGCCGCGUGGAGGAUGAAGGUUUUCGGAUUGUAAACUCCUUUUUUUAGAGAAGAUAAGGAUGGGAUCUAACGAAUAAGCACUGGCUAACUCCGGGCCAGCAGCCGCGGGAAUAUGGAGGGUGCAAGCGUUACUCGGAAUCACCGGGCGUAAAGAGCGCGGAGGCGGGAUAGAAAGUCAGACGUGAAAACCUAUGGCUUAACCCUCGAACUGUCUUUGAAACUGUUGUUCUAGAGUGGGGGAGAGGUAGGUGGAAUGCGUGGUGUAGGGGUAAAAUCCGUAGAGAUCAAGAAGAAUACUCAUUGCGAAGGCGGCCUGCUAGAACAUAACUGACGCUGAUGCGCGAAAGCGUGGGGAGCGAACAGGAUUAGAUACCCCUGUAGUC
rnacentral:rRNA from 1 species